CUUGACUCCACUGCCACUGAGUUCUACAACAAGGUCAAGGGCCUCGCCGACACAUUGGCCUCCAUUGGACAGCCCCUCACCGACUCCGAGUUCAACUCGUUUAUUGUCAAUGGUCUUGAUGAGGAGUAUGAUGCCUUAGUCGAGAUCAUCAACGAGCGGGGCAACUCGACACCCAUGCUGGCACACGAGGUUUUCUCUCGGCUCCUUCUCACUGAGCAACGGGUCGAGACUCGCCGCACCAGGGGCACUGGCUCCCUCUCGGCCAACGCCGCCACCAAGGGUGGCCGCUCUUCUUCA
rnacentral:rRNA from 1 species